rnacentral:piRNA from 1 species
UGAAGCUAAUCACAUCAUUCCGGAUGUC